AAUUAUCUCAAUCAGUAGCUGCAUGUGUUGAAUUAAUUGUGUAUAAUUAUAUACCUGAUGCAAAUUUGACAUGGACAAUCGUCCCUGCCCCUCCAUGGUAAAUGCAUGACCUGAGUUUUUUCAAUCAUAUCUGGAAGAUGAUUGGAACUGAUUUUGCAAAAAUGGUCGAAGACGGGUUGAACUGAUUAGGUAAAAAUAGUCGAUGACGGGUUCAAUUGAUUCUGCAAAAAUAAUUGAGAACGAGUUGAACUAAUUCUGCAAAAAUGGUCGAGGACCGAUUGAGCUGAUUCUGCAAAAAUGGUUGAGGACGGUUUGAACUGAUUCUUCAAAAAUAAUUGAGGAUGGAUCAAACUGAUUCUACAAAAAUGGGUGAGGACAGGUCGAACUGGAUGAGGACAGGUUGAACUGAUUCUGCAAAAAUAGUCGAGGACGGGUUGAACUACUUCUGGAAAAAUGGUAGAGGAUAGGUUGAACUAAUUCUGCAAAAAGGGAUGAGAAUUGAUUGAAUUGAUUUUGCAAAGAUGGUUAAGGACGGGUUGAACUGAUUCUGCAAAAAUAGUCGAAGAUUGAUUGAACUGAUUCUGCAAAAAUAGUCAAAGAUGGUUUGAGCUGAUUCUGCAAAAAUGGACGAGAAUUGAUUAAACUGAUUAUGUAAAAAUGGAUGAGAAUUGAUUGAACUAAUUCUGGAAGGGUGGGUUGAACUGCUUCUAGUAAUAAAAGAUACAAACUAAUAAAGCUCCCAUAAAAUUUCAGUUUAUAAACUAGUGAAAUUCUUUAAAAUAUAAUAAAAAAAAUCGUCUCUAUAUAAAGCUUCCAUAUAAUUUCAGUUUAUCAAUGGAAAUAUUCUAUUGCUAAACUACGAUGGAAAUAAUCUUUAUUUAUAAUUAGUUAAGUAAAUUGUUGAUUUAAAUAUAGUUCAUUGUGGCUCAGAUUCACAAUCUAAAAAAUUUACAUAAAACAAUUGUUAAACAAUACACGUAUGACAAUAGAACAAUACGCUCUUAAAGGUUUUUACAAAAUGCAGACUUUCCUGGGUUUAGGGUUUACUAAUUUACUAGUUUAAUUAGGGUUUAUUCAUUUAAGUUGUUACAAUCUGAGGACGCCAUCUUUGAACAUACGACAUGUUUUCUUUCUUUCUUCUCUCUACAUUUUUAACAUAUGAUAUUUGAAGUUUGAAUAUAAAAAAAAAUAACCAUCAGGUUCGUCUCCUAAAAAAUGAUAACCACAGUCCAAAUAGUUGAAAUUAAUUAAAAUUAAUUAAUUGGGUAUUAACCAAUCAAAACCAAUGUGCGUUUGUAGGAGGUAGGUAGCAUUGAGGUUGCAUCAUUCGCUCAGUCAUUCGUUAACGUUUCAAUUGCUUUAGUUCCGUUCAAGUCACGUUGUUUAUUUCAGAGAAAUGCUAGCGUCAGUCGUUCACGCAUACGUGAAAGAUCGAUAAAUAUAUAAAUAAAACAAUUGAAUCCCACAAAUGACAAUUCCCAACUACUACUAGCCAAUUAUUACGAAAAGCAAGAACAAAAGAUCAAGAUUCAAACCCUAGUAGAAGAGAAGAGCAGAGAAAAGGAGAAGAAGAACAAUCUUCUUUCUUUCUUCCCUUGCAACUUUAAAAGUAACCGCAACAAGUAACAAGAAGACUGUGGAUGACCAAAGUUCUGGGCCCGACCCGACCCAUGGUGUGGAGCCCGGCAAGAAAACAAAUCAGAUAUGUCUCACGUGCGAGUGGUGGAGGGGUGGGGAAAGUCGGAGGCUUUCGCAAGGGCCCACAGCCUACGUGUGAGGUGACAUGCCACAACUACAACGGCCAAUGGUCGGUCGUCGCCAUCCUCAGUCGG
rnacentral:lncRNA from 1 species